rnacentral:tRNA from 1 species
AGACGAUUAGUCUAAAGAAAGACCGCUGAUUUCGGCUUAGCAGAACGUGGUUCAAAUCCAUGAUCGUCUU